rnacentral:rRNA from 1 species
UCUAGAGGAAAAAAGGUAAUACUGUUUAAGGAAACCUUUAUUAUAUGGCGGCCUUUUUUCUUUUUAGAGGAACUCGUCUCAUAAUCGUUACUCCUCGUUAUUUCUUACUUUUUUUUAUCUCUUAUACCGCCGUCUUAAGAUUUAUUUUCCUUUUUUCUGAAAAAAAAAAUCUUACAAAGUCAGGUAAAGGUGAGGAUUGUAAAAAAGAGAAGAUAAGUUACCUAUAAAAUUUAUUUUAGGAUAUAUCUUUAACAUCAAUAUUGAAAGAGGAUUUAACAGUAAUUUUCUAUUAUUAUUUUAUAAUGAAUCAGUAAAUAGGUGU